UACGUAGGUGGCAAGCGUUGUCCGGAUUUACUGGGCGUAAAGAGCGCGCAGGCGGUCGUUCAAGUCGCGUGUGAAAGCCCCCGGCUCAACUGGGGAGGGUCACGCGAUACUGAUCGACUCGAAGGCAGGAGAGGGUAGUGGAAUUCCCGGUGUAGUGGUGAAAUGCGUAGAUAUCGGGAGGAACACCAGUGGCGAAGGCGACUACCUGGCCUGUUCUUGACGCUGAGGCGCGAAAGCCAGGGGAGCAA
rnacentral:rRNA from 1 species